AUGCGCGAAUCACUAGCAUACAUUUUUCCUGUUUUAUGUUACUUUGCAUUAUUUGCUAGUCGUUGUUUAAUUGGACGCGGAAACUGUGGAAACCUUAGUAUCCCUGAUAUAAUUAUUCUACUCCAAGGUUUAUAUAGUGAUAACACUUUUAGUAUGGGCAGUAUUAUUGCUAGACGGUUAAAUAUGAACCGUACUAAGGGCCCCAUAUUUGGAGGCAUCUAUGCUACACGCCUAGCCGCACAUUUUAACAUACCUAUUAGGCAUGCUGAGAAGGAAGAAAAGGUGUUGCCCCGUGUUUAUCUAGAUCAUAAAAGUAUGGUGGCACAUGAUUUUAUUGUUAAGAAUAGGGCAGGAGAGCUUAAAUAUCAAUUGUUCUUUAAUAAACAUCAUCCUGAGACUAUUACCUUGCCUACUCCUUCUUUGUUUGAUUUGACUGCAGGCACGUACCUUGUUCCGUUGACGGCUAUUCACGCCUACCGGAACCCUGCACCAGCCGAGGAGCCAGAACCGGAACCACAAUUUGAUCCUUCACGGCAGUCUAACUAUCAGUGGGAUCCAGAGAUGAUUGCCAGCCAGUGGCAAUUGGAGCCUUCUUCUUCCUCAUCAUAG
rnacentral:rRNA from 1 species